rnacentral:piRNA from 1 species
AGAAAAUCCAGAGUGCAGAGCAGUGAUGA